AGAGUUUGAUCAUGGCUCAGGAUGAACGCUAGCGGCAGGCUUAAUACAUGCAAGUCGUGGGGCAGCGCAGUGUAGCAAUACAUGAGCGGCGACCGGCAAACGGGUGCGUAACACGUACGCAACCUUCCCGUUACUGGUGAAUAGCCCAGGGAAACUUGGAUUAAUACACCAUAUUAUAUUGACUAGGCAUCUGGUUAAUAUCAAAGCUUCGGCGGUAACGGAUGGGCGUGCGGUUGAUUAGGUAGUUGGCGGGGUAACGGCCCACCAAGCCUACGAUCAAUAGCUGAUGUGAGAGCAUGAUCAGCCACACGGGCACUGAGACACGGGCCCGACUCCUACGGGAGGCAGCAGUAAGGAAUAUUGGGCAAUGGACGAAAGUCUGACCCAGCCAUGCCGCGUGGAGGAUGAAGGUCCUCUGGAUUGUAAACUUCUUUUUUCUGGGGCGAAAACCGGUUUUUCUAAACCAUUUGACAGUGCCAGAAGAGUAGAC
rnacentral:rRNA from 1 species